rnacentral:rRNA from 1 species
UACGGGGGGGGCAAGCGUUGUUCGGAAUUACUGGGCGUAAAGGGCUCGUAGGUGGCCAACUAAGUCAGACGUGAAAUCCCUCGGCUUAACCGGGGAACUGCGUCUGAUACUGGAUGGCUUGAGUUUGGGAGAGGGACGCGGAAUCCCAGGUGUAGCGGUGAAAUGCGUAGAUAUCUGGAGGAACACCGGUGGCGAAGGCGGCGUCCUGGACCAACACUGACACUGAGGAGCGAAAGCCAGGGGAGCAAACGGG